UGGGGAAUUUUGGACAAUGGGCGAAAGCCUGAUCCAGCAAUGCCGCGUGUGUGAAGAAGGCCUUCGGGUUGUAAAGCACUUUUGUCCGGAAAGAAAUCCUUGGCUCUAAUACAGUCGGGGGAUGACGGUACCGGAAGAAUAAGCACCGGCUAACUACGUGCCAGCAGCCGCGGUAAUACGUAGGGUGCAAGCGUUAAUCGGAAUUACUGGGCGUAAAGCGUGCGCAGGCGGUUUGCUAAGACCGAUGUGAAAUCCCCGGGCUCAACCUGGGAACUGCAUUGGUGACUGGCAGGCUAGAGUAUGGCAGAGGGGGGUAGAAUUCCACGUGUAGCAGUGAAAUGCGUAGAGAUGUGGAGGAAUACCGAUGGCGAAGGCAGCCCCCUGGGCCAAUACUGACGCUCAUGCACGAAAGCGUGGGGAGCAAAACAGGAUUAGAUACCCUGGUAGUCCACGCCCUAAACGAUGUCAACUAGUUGUUGGGGAUUCAUUUCCUUAGUAACGUAGCUAACGCAUGAAGUUGACCGCCUGGGGAGUACGGUCGCAAGAUUAAAACUCAAAUGAAUUGACGGGGUCAUAGCUGUUUCCU
rnacentral:rRNA from 1 species